rnacentral:rRNA from 1 species
CUCAACCCCGGAAGUGCGACUGAAACUGGCAGGCUUGAGUAUGGGAGAGGGAAGUGGAAUUCCUGGUGUAGCGGUGAAAUGCGUAGAUAUCAGGAGGAACACCGGUGGCGAAGGCGACUUCCUGGACCAAUACUGACGCUGAGGCGCGAAGGCGUGGGUAGCAAACAGGAUUAGAUACCCUGGUAGUCCACGCAGUAAACGGUGAUCACUAGGUGUUGCGGGCUUUGAUGUCUGCAGUGCCGAAGCAAACGCAUUAAGUGAUCCGCCUGGGGAGUACGGCCGCAAGGUUAAAACUCAAAGGAAUUGACGGGGGCCCGCACAAGCGGUGGAGCAUGUGGUUUAAUUCGACGCAACGCGAAGAACCUUACCUGGGUUUGACAUCUGGGGGAUGCCAUGGAGACAUGGCAGUGCCCUUCGGGGAGCCC